GCACUGGCUGCUAAUGUGAGUGACCAGCUCAUCUAAGCAAGCCCUAACUUCUUCCUGAGUGCCCCUAGGAGGCAGGGAGGAGGGAAGUUGGCAACAGUAAAGAAGUGUCCAGAGACCUGGCACAAGGCCCAUAAUAUUAUACCUGGAGUUCCAUUCUCUCUUAUGAUGCUGAACGGCAGCAAGAGGCUGCAGCUCCUACUCAACCCUGCAAGCACAAGAAGAAACCCCCACACUCCCUAGGUUAAAAUUUUCCAAAUCCAUCUCCUGAGGCUGGUCCAUCACACGUGGUGACAAGAACCAAAGAGUACCCCAGCAGAAGAAGAGAAAAGAGCACAGAGAAGAGG
rnacentral:lncRNA from 1 species